UACGUAGGGUGCGAGCGUUGUCCGGAAUUAUUGGGCGUAAAGAGCUCGUAGGCGGUGUGUCACGUCGGCCGUGAAAACCUGCAGCUUAACUGUGGGCGUGCGGUCGAUACGGGCAUCACUGGAGUUCGGCAGGGGAGAACGGAAUUCCCGGCGUAGCGGUGAAAUGCGCAGAUAUCGGGAGGAACACCGGUGGCGAAGGCGGUUCUCUGGGCCUGUACUGACGCUGAGGAGCGAAAGCGUGGGGAGCGAACAGG
rnacentral:rRNA from 1 species